rnacentral:rRNA from 1 species
GACGAACGCUGGCGGCGUGCCUAAUACAUGCAAGUAGGACGCAGUUGCGAACGGGUGAGUAACGCGUAGGUAACUGCCUAUUAGAGGGGGAUAACUAUUGGAAACGAUAGCUAAUACCGCAUACUAGUAGAUGGACCUGCGGUGUAUUAGCUAGUAGGUAGGGUAAUGGCCUACCUAGGCAAAGAUACAUAGCCGACUUGGGAGGGUGAACGGCCAAACCUGGACUGGGACACGGCCCCGACCUCUUCGGGAGGCAGCAAGAGGGAAAUUUUGGACAUUGGGGGAAACCUGACCGAGCAACGCCGCGGGAGUGAAGAAGGUUCUCGGGUCGUAAAGCUCUGUUGUUAAGGAAGCGUUACUUAACCAGAAAGGGACGGCUAACUACGUGCCAGCAGCCGCGGUAAUUC